rnacentral:rRNA from 1 species
AAAAAAGGUAAGCUACUAAGAGCGAAUGGUGGAUGCCUUGACUGGUAAAGGCGAUGAAGGACGUACUAGACUGCGAUAAGCUACGGGGAGCUGUCAAGAAGCUUUGAUCCGUAGAUUUCCGAAUGGGGCAACCCAAUGUAUAGAGAUAUACAUUACCUAUAUAGGAGCGAACGAGGGGAAUUGAAACAUCUUAGUACCCUCAGGAAAAGAAAUCAAUAGAGAUUGCGUCAGUAGCGGCGAGCGAAAGCGCAAGAGGGCAAACCCAGUGCUUGCACUGGGGGUUGUAGGACUGCAAUGUGCAAGAGGUGAGUUUAGCAGAACAUUCUGGAAAGUAUAGCCAUAGAGGGUGAUAGUCCCGUAUGCGAAAAACAAACCUUAGCUAGCAGUAUCCUGAGUAGGGCGGGACACGAGAAAUCCUGUCUGAAGCUGGGUCGACCACGAUCCAACCCUAAAUACUAAUACCAGAUCGAUAGUGCACAAGUACCGUGAGGGAAAGGUGAAAAGAACUGAGGUGAUCAGAGUGAAAUAGAACCUGAAACCAUUUGCUUACAAUCAUUCAGAGCCCUAUGUAGCAAUACAGGGUGAUGGACUGCCUUUUGCAUAAUGAGCCUGCGAGUUGUGGUGUCUGGCAAGGUUAAGCAAACGCGAAGCCGUAGCGAAAGCGAGUCUGAAUAGGGCGCUUAGUCAGAUGCUGCAGACCCGAAACGAAGUGAUCUAUCCAUGAGCAAGUUGAAGCUAGUGUAAGAACUAGUGGAGGACUGAACCCAUAGGCGUUGAAAAGCCCCGGGAUGACUUGUGGAUAGGGGUGAAAGGCCAAUCAAACUUCGUGAUAGCUGGUUCUCUCCGAAAUAUAUUUAGGUAUAGCGUUGUGUCGUAAUAUAAGGGGGUAGAGCACUGAAUGGGCUAGGGCAUACACCAAUGUACCAAACCCUAUCAAACUCCGAAUACCUUAUAUGUAAUCACAGCAGUCAGGCGGCGAGUGAUAAAAUCCGUCGUCAAGAGGGAAACAACCCAGACUACCAGCUAAGGUCCCUAAAUCUUACUUAAGUGGAAAACGAUGUGAAGUUACUUAAACAACCAGGAGGUUGGCUUAGAAGCAGCCAUCCUUUAAAGAAAGCGUAAUAGCUCACUGGUCUAGUGAUUUUGCGCGGAAAAUAUAACGGGGCUAAAGUAAGUACCGAAGCUGUAGACUUGCGCACAACUUAGAUUAUUUAAGUUUAGAAUAUGAGAAACUAAGUUAUAUGUUUAGUUAUAUUUUUACUGAUUUUUAUAGAGUAAAGAUAGAAAUAAAACUUAGUAAAAUCAGUAAAAAUAUUCUUAGACUAAAGUUAAGUAGUUUAAGUUGUGUGCAAGUGGUAGGAGAGCGUUCUAUUUGCGCCGAAGGUAUACCGGUAAGGAGUGCUGGAGCGAAUAGAAGUGAGCAUGCAGGCAUGAGUAGCGAUAAUUAAUGUGAGAAUCAUUAACGCCGUAAACCCAAGGUUUCCUACGCGAUGCUCGUCAUCGUAGGGUUAGUCGGGUCCUAAGUCGAGUCCGAAAGGGGUAGACGAUGGCAAAUUGGUUAAUAUUCCAAUACCAACAUUAGUGUGCGAUGGAAGGACGCUUAGGGCUAAGGGGGCUAGCGGAUGGAAGUGCUAGUCUAAGGUCGUAGGAGGUUAUACAGGCAAAUCCGUAUAACAAUACUCCGAGAACUGAAAGGCUUUUUGAAGUCUUCGGAUGGAUAGAAGAACCCCUGAUGCCGUCGAGCCAAGAAAAGUUUCUAAGUUUAGCUAAUGUUGCCCGUACCGUAAACCGACACAGGUGGGUGGGAUGAGUAUUCUAAGGCGCGUGGAAGAACUCUCUUUAAGGAACUCUGCAAAAUAGCACCGUAUCUUCGGUAUAAGGUGUGGUUCGCUU